UCACGGAGAGUUUGAUCCUGGCUCAGGACGAACGCUGGCGGCGUGCUUAACACAUGCAAGUCGAACGAUGAACCACUUCGGUGGGGAUUAGUGGCGAACGGGUGAGUAACACGUGGGCAAUCUGCCCUUCACUCUGGGACAAGCCCUGGAAACGGGGUCUAAUACCGGAUACGACACUCUCGGGCAUCCGAUGAGUGUGGAAAGCUCCGGCGGUGAAGGAUGAGCCCGCGGCCUAUCAGCUUGUUGGUGAGGUAACGGCUCACCAAGGCGACGACGGGUAGCCGGCCUGAGAGGGCGACCGGCCACACUGGGACUGAGACACGGCCCAGACUCCUACGGGAGGCAGCAGUGGGGAAUAUUGCACAAUGGGCGAAAGCCUGAUGCAGCGACGCCGCGUGAGGGAUGACGGCCUUCGGGUUGUAAACCUCUUUCAGCAGGGAAGAAGCGAAAGUGACGGUACCUGCAGAAGAAGCGCCGGCUAACUACGUGCCAGCAGCCGCGGUAAUACGUAGGGCGCGAGC
rnacentral:rRNA from 1 species